rnacentral:lncRNA from 1 species
AUAAGAAAAGUUCAAAGUUUAUCAAGAUAAUUCCUUGAAGAAAUCUGUCAAUCCACAAAAUGUGAUCCUAUCAAAUUAGUAUCAAAAUCCAUCCAAAGGCUAGUAUCCAGAAACCUUAUCUUUCCAAAACUUAAAAUGAGAAACGUUAUUCCUUCCAAACAAAGAACUAGAAAACGUUUUCUUUGGAAUUGAAAACGUUAUUUCGUUCCAAGAUUUUUAGGAGCUAGAAACAAAUUUCGACCGUGAAUUUCUAAGGAGCAGAGGCAAAUUUCGUUCAAUCAAUGAAGGUUUUCCAACGAAAUAUUAUACGAAGUUUUCCCUACUCUAGGUAUGUUAAGGUUAAGCUUUUCCUUCAUUUUAGCAUGAUAUCGUAAUUACACAAAUUUGAUAAUGAGGCAUAAAGAAAAAUUUAUAUCCCGAAAUUUACGUAUAUUUUGCUAGUCUCGCAAAUUACUUAUAUUUUCCUAGUUUUGUAAGUUACCAUAUUUUCCUUAUCGGGACUGCAUAUUCAGUUGAGUAUUUUCUUCUUCCGGUCAAAAGAGCAGAGAGUUUACAUAUAUAUAGUAUUAAAAGUAUUUUCAUUACCAUCGAGCUAUAAUCGAUGGACAGGCUUCUAUUGCGCAACCUCUGAUCAAAUGGUAAGUUAUAUACCGAGACUGAUGUGGCUGAGCGCCUAUGAGCGAGCCCAGUUGGUCGAGAUACAGAGCCUAGUAUGGCCUAGCGCCUAUGAGCGAACCUACUACGGCAGAGCAGUUAUAUAUAUAUAUAUAUAUAUACACGCAUACAUACACCGAGCCUUAUAGAGCCGGACAACUAUUUUACUCACUAUAUUGAGAGAGUCGAGUCAAUAUCAGUAGAUGAGCAUAUCUGCGGAUUUUUUUUGACUCCCAGUUGUUUCUAGUUAUUAUAUUAUCAGUUCUGUUUCAGCUUCAUUAUAUUGCCUUACAUACUCGGUACAUUAUUUCGUACUGAUGUCCCUUUCUGGGGGCGCUGCAUUUCAUGCGUGCAGGUUCAGACAGAUAGACUGGUAGAUCUCCUUAGUAGGUGUUGUCCGAGUUCAGCUUUAUCAGAAAGCUCCCCUUCUUUCGGAGUUUCCGAGUCUAGCAGUGUGAUGUAUAUCUUGUGUAUAUAUGUAGAUAGGUUAUGGGUAGGUCGGGGCCCUUUUCCGAUCACAGUACAUCUAUCAGUAGAGGCUUGUAGACAUAUCCUGCCGGUUAAGUACAGUAUGUUGGGAUUGUAGGCCCUGUACGAAUAUUUUGUUGGCUUGCCAGUUGUAGUAAUUAUGACGGCCCUGCCGGCCCAGCUUAUGUUGACAUCAGUCAGCGUUAGUCUCCAUUUAGUUUUAUAUUUUGUAUCGCACAUUAUCUUGUAAUGUAUCCCAUAGACAAAGUAUGACAUUACAUGUCCAGAGUCUCUUAGUUGCAAGUGGUACGCAGGGAUAGAUGAGGCACUAGGUGCCGGUUUCGCCCCC